rnacentral:rRNA from 1 species
UACGUAGGUGGCAAGCGUUGUCCGGAUUUACUGGGCGUAAAGCGCACGCAGGUGGCCCGUCAAGUCCAGGGUGAAAUCUCCCGGCUCAACCGGGAUAGGUCUCUGGAUACUGGCAGGCUUGAGGGCAGCAGAGGAGAGCAGAAUUCCCGGUGUAGCGGUGAUAUGCGUAGAUAUCGGGAGGAAUACCAGUGGCGAAGGCGGCUCUCUGGGCUGUCCCUGACGCUGAGGUGCGAAAGCGUGGGGAGCAAACCGG